CCUACGGGUGGCAGCAGUGGGGAAUAUUGGACAAUGGGCGAAAGCCUGAUCCAGCCAUGCCGCGUGUGUGAAGAAGGCCUUCGGGUUGUAAAGCACUUUCAGUGGGGAAGAAAGCCUUGGGGCUAAUACCCUCGAGGAAGGACAUCACCCACAGAAGAAGCACCGGCUAACUCCGUGCCAGCAGCCGCGGUAAUACGGAGGGUGCGAGCGUUAAUCGGAAUUACUGGGCGUAAAGCGCGCGUAGGCGGUCUGAUAAGCCGGUUGUGAAAGCCCCGGGCUCAACCUGGGAACGGCAUCCAGAACUGUCAGGCUAGAGUGCAGUAGAGGAAGGUAGAAUUCCCGGUGUAGCGGUGAAAUGCGUAGAGAUCGGGAGGAAUACCAGUGGCGAAGGCGGCCUUCUGGACUGACACUGACGCUGAGGUGCGAAAGCGUGGGUAGCAAACAGGAUUAGAUACCCUGGUAGUC
rnacentral:rRNA from 1 species